GAUGAACGCUGGCGGCGUGCCUAAUACAUGCAAGUCGAGCGAACGGACGAGAAGCUUGCUUCUCUGAUGUUAGCGGCGGACGGGUGAGUAACACGUGGAUAACCUACCUAUAAGACUGGGAUAACUUCGGGAAACCGGAGCUAAUACCGGAUAAUAUUUUGAACCGCAUGGUUCAAAAGUGAAAGACGGUCUUGCUGUCACUUAUAGAUGGAUCCGCGCUGCAUUAGCUAGUUGGUAAGGUAACGGCUUACCAAGGCAACGAUGCAUAGCCGACCUGAGAGGGUGAUCGGCCACACUGGAACUGAGACACGGUCCAGACUCCUACGGGAGGCAGCAGUAGGGAAUCUUCCGCAAUGGGCGAAAGCCUGACGGAGCAACGCCGCGUGAGUGAUGAAGGUCUUCGGAUCGUAAAACUCUGUUAUUAGGGAAGAACAUAUGUGUAAGUAACUGUGCACAUCUUGACGGUACCUAAUCAGAAAGCCACGGCUAACUACGUGCCAGCAGCCGCGGUAAUGCGUAGGUGGCAAGCGUUAUCCGGAAUUAUUGGGCGUAAAGCGCGCGUAGGCGGUUUUUUAAGUCUGAUGUGAAAGCCCACGGCUCAACCGUGGAGGGUCAUUGGAAACUGGAAAACUUGAGUGCAGAAGAGGAAAGUGGAAUUCCAUGUGUAGCGGUGAAAUGCGCAGAGAUAUGGAGGAACACCAGUGGCGAAGGCGACUUUCUGGUCUGUAACUGACGCUGAUGUGCGAAAGCGUGGGGAUCAAACAGGAUUAGAUACCCUGGUAGUCCACGCCGUAAACGAUGAGUGCUAAGUGUUAGGGGGUUUCCGCCCCUUAGUGCUGCAGCUAACGCAUUAAGCACUCCGCCUGGGGAGUACGACCGCAAGGUUGAAACUCAAAGGAAUUGACGGGGACCCGCACAAGCGGUGGAGCAUGUGGUUUAAUUCGAAGCAACGCGAAGAACCUUACCAAAUCUUGACAUCCUUUGACAACUCUAGAGAUAGAGCUUUCCCCUUCGGGGGACAAAGUGACAGGUGGUGCAUGGUUGUCGUCAGCUCGUGUCGUGAGAUGUUGGGUUAAGUCCCGCAACGAGCGCAACCCUUAAGCUUAGUUGCCAUCAUUAAGUUGGGCACUCUAAGUUGACUGCCGGUGACAAACCGGAGGAAGGUGGGGAUGACGUCAAAUCAUCAUGCCCCUUAUGAUUUGGGCUACACACGUGCUACAAUGGACAAUACAAAGGGCAGCGAAACCGCGAGGUCAAGCAAAUCCCAUAAAGUUGUUCUCAGUUCGGAUUGUAGUCUGCAACUCGACUACAUGAAGCUGGAAUCGCUAGUAAUCGUAGAUCAGCAUGCUACGGUGAAUACGUUCCCGGGUCU
rnacentral:rRNA from 1 species